UUUGAUCCUGGCUCAGAUUGAACGCUGGCGGCAGGCCUACACAAUGCAAGUCGAACGGUAACAGGAAGCAGCUUGCUUCUUUGCUGACGAGUGCCGGACGGGGGAGUAAUGUCUGGGAAACUGCCUGAUGGAGGGGGAUAACUACUGGAAACGGUAGCUAAUACCGCAUAACGUCGCAAGACCAAAGAGGGGGACCUUCGGGCCUCUUGCCAUCGGAUGUGCCCAGAUGGGAUUAGCUUGUUGGUGGGGUAACGGCUCACCCAGGCGACGAUCCCUAGCUGGUCUGAGAGGAAGACCAGCCACACUGGAACUGAGACACGGUCCAGACUCCUACGGGAGGCAGCAGUGGGGAAUAUUGCACAAUGGGCGCAAGCCUGAUGCAGCCAUGCCGCGUGUAUGAAGAAGGCCUUCGGGUUGUAAAGUACUUUCAGCGGGGAGGAAGGGAGUAAAGUUAAUACCUUUGCUCAUU
rnacentral:rRNA from 1 species